CCUACGGGAGGCUGCAGUGGGGAAUAUUGGACAAUGGGGGGAACCCUGAUCCAGCCACGCCGCGUGUGUGAAGAAGGCCCUCGGGUUGUAAAGCACUUUCAGUGAGGAAGAACGCCUGGUGGUUAAUACCCAUCAGGAAAGACAUCACUCACAGAAGAAGCACCGGCUAACUCCGUGCCAGCAGCCGCGGUAAUACGGAGGGUGCGAGCGUUAAUCGGAAUUACUGGGCGUAAAGCGCGCGUAGGUGGCUUGAUAAGCCGGUUGUGAAAGCCCCGGGCUCAACCUGGGAACGGCAUCCGGAACUGUCAAGCUAGAGUGCAGGAGAGGAAGGUAGAAUUCCCGGUGUAGCGGUGAAAUGCGUAGAGAUCGGGAGGAAUACCAGUGGCGAAGGCGGCCUUCUGGACUGACACUGACACUGAGGUGCGAAAGCGUGGGUAGCAAACAGGAUUAGAUACCCCUGUAGUC
rnacentral:rRNA from 1 species